GAGGGAGAAGUGACGAUGGUGAUCGUUGCUGCCGCGGCCGAUAUGGAACCCAAGCAGUGGCGAAGGGAAUCGCAAGGCUCUUCCCUGACCAUUUUCUACUGUCCCUGCGCGAGGUGAGGGCCCCGGCUCGGCCUCUGCAAAACUUUGGGGCGCUGGCGCGGAGGAGGAGACAGGAUUUCUCCCGUGACUUUUGUAACUGCGUCAGGGCAAGAUGGCGCUGGGUCUCUUUGGGGCGCGGGGGGAGAGGCACGUCCACCGCCGCAGCGCAUGUGACCGGGCUGCAUUCCUGUGGGGUUUGGCUCCGACCCAGGCCGGGGCGGGGGAGGGGACAGGGCUUGGGCGGAGGAGACUGUGGUGCGGUCGGCGUUGGCGGCCUGAAGAGGAAGAGAUGACUGUUGGAAAGCGUUCCCCUCCCCCAUACGGCAGAACAGCUGCGGCUCCCAGGGGAAAGCCCCCGCAGGACAGUCCUCGUGGGGUGUGACGGCUGUUGGUGGAGAAGGUUUGGCGCCCUAUUUUCUUAUCUGCCUUUCUCCCCGCAAAGUAUACUUAUGUAAGGUGGUAGUUCCCUGACGUGGGACUCGGAAUCAACUAGGAGUCCUUGAGGGCCUCUGGGAGGCCUAGCGAGGGGUAGACCAGCUUCUGGGGGUACAACGUCAAGGAGGAUCGAUUACUUUCUGAGGAAACAGUUUCUCAGAUUGAAAUAGAAAAGUAUUUCCAAAGUUUGGAAACAAAUUUAAAGGUGUAAAUAACACCCAGGAACACUUUAAUUGCUUUGAAAAGGCAUAAGCAGCCAUCUGAAUUUAAGGGCCCUUUUCAGACUCUUCCUUCCUCCUGUGAUUCCUGUUCUUUAUUUCAGUUUUCUGUCUGUACAUCCCUUAAGAAUAUAGUUUUGUCGGUGGGAUUCGCUCUUUUGUGCCCAGGCUGGAGUGCAGAGGCGAGAUCUCGGCCCACUGCAACCUCCGCCUCCCCGGGUUCAGGCGAGUCUCCUGCCUCAGCCUCCCAGGUAGCUGGGAUUACAGGCGCCCACAACCACACCCUGCUAAUUUUUUCUAUUUUUAGUAGAGACGGGGUUUCACCCCAUUGACCAGGCUGGUCUCGAACUCUCGAGAUCCGCCCGUCUCAGCUUCCCAAAGUGCUGGGAUUAUAGGCAUGAGCCACCGCGCCGGGCCUGCUUUUUUUUUUUUUUUUUUUUUUUGCACUGGGCAUUAGUAAUACGGAAUAAAAGCCGUGUUUUAAACUGUAUUAAGUUGUAAGACUUUUCAGUACUUUCAAGUCUGCUUUCUUUCUGUUGCCCUUUUGUAGUUUUUAAAAAUAAAAGAUGCAAUUAUAAGCA
rnacentral:lncRNA from 10 species